UACGUAGGGGGCAAGCGUUGUCCGGAAUCAUUGGGCGUAAAGAGCGCGUAGGCGGCCCUGUAAGUCCGCUGUGAAAGUCAAGGGCUCAACCCUUGAAUGCCGGUGGAUACUGCAGGGCUAGAGUCCGGAAGAGGCGAGUGGAAUUCCUGGUGUAGCGGUGAAAUGCGCAGAUAUCAGGAGGUACACCGAUGGCGAAGGCAGCUCGCUGGGACGGUACUGACGCUAAGGCGCGAAAGCGUGGGGAGCAAACAGG
rnacentral:rRNA from 1 species